rnacentral:rRNA from 1 species
UACGAGGGGGGCAAGCGUUGUUCGGAAUUAUUGGGCGUAAAGGGCGCGUAGGCGGCGUGGUAAGUCAGCUGUGAAAUCUCCGAGCUUAACUCGGAACGGUCAGCUGAUACUGCUGUGCUAGAGUGCAGAAAGGGCAAUCGGAAUUCUUGGUGUAGCGGUGAAAUGCGUAGAUAUCAAGAGGAACACCUGAGGCGAAGGCGGGUUGCUAGGCUGACACUGACGCUGACAGCGCGAAAGCUAGGGUAGCAAACGGG